GGAGGCUUAGCUCAGUGGCAGAGCAAUCGACUGCAGAUCGAUAGGUCACCAUUUCGACUAUGGUAGUCUCCU